UACAGAGGGCUCGAGCGUUGCGCGGAAUUACUGGGCUUAAAGGGUGCGCAGGCGGAUCAGUAAGUGUCUUGUGAAAUCCCCCGGCUUAACCGGGGAAUGGCUCGGCAGACUGCUGAUCUUGAGCCCGGCAGGGGCCGUCGGAACGCUAGGUGGAGCGGUGAAAUGCGUAGAUAUCUAGCGGAACGCCAAAGGUGAAGACAGACGGCUGGGCCGGCGCUGACGCUCAGGCACGAAAGCGUGGGUAGCGAACGGG
rnacentral:misc_RNA from 1 species